ensembl:lncRNA
CUGCAUUCCUACGUACACUGGGGAUCUUGUUUCAAUCAUCACAGACUUUCUCCUAACCGCGGCUCUGAGAGUGUUUUCUUUAAGAUUUUCUUUCUUUUGUUGUGGGUUGUACAAAAAGGCUUUGUCGAAGUAGCCCUAAGCCUUGAAACUGAUCCUUGGUGGAAUCUACUACUGCAAGUAAGCACUGAAAGCAUUAGAUUUCUGAAAUGGAGUUCAUUUCAGUUGGAGAUUACAAUAAACAAAUGUUUGGAACAUUACAGACCUUAAUGAUGGAUUUCAGCACAGCCAAGCAGCAUGACUGGAAUUAAGUGGCAGAUUACACUAAAGCUAAUAAUUACAUCGAAGAAACCCAAACUACAAUGUAUCUACAAGUGGAAUGACCUGUUGUUGUUAGCAUUAGUUUUCUCAAGCAAUAGGGAUGAGGUACAGCACUGUUAAAUCUAAUAGGAGUAGGAGGUAUGCCAAAAUGAUUUCUGUGCUAAGCCUUUCUUCUGCCCUCUUAAUUUGGAGCUGCUUUGUCAGCCAGUCUGCAAGCAGCAGUAUUUUGUGCAGUUUCUUCCAUCUCCAUCCUUUGGUAAUUGCCUUCACUACGAUCCUUACCUGUAAAGCUUCCUGCAACCAUGUGCAGGAGAGCCUUGGCGCUGACAGGAGACCACUGGCAUCUCAUCUGCAGGCAGACAGAAACUCAUGCUGACCCUACUACAAGCCUGCAUUCCAAACCAGUCACAGCUAAAUAAUUUGCUAUUCUGUAGCUGCUUCAUCUGUAGCUAGUUCAUCUGUAGAAUAAUCUUCAUACUAGUACAAGACCUUAAGACCAGUGGAGUCAUCUUCACUUAACAUAAACA